rnacentral:rRNA from 1 species
CCCUAUGGGGUGCAGCAAACUUCAAAAUAAAUUAUACGCAGAAAGAUGUUCUUAGAACAAUGAAUCCUGUUUACUCUGGAGAAAUGGGCGAAAAUCCUUUUUUAUUAUACUUUGGAGAGGGAGAUAGCCUAUACUCAAUGAAUGUCAAUAGAAGUGAUAAUAGACUUAUUGUGAAUGUUAGAAAUAAUCUGGAUUCAAAAACAUUAUACGGGUUAUCAGACGAUAUCCUCUCAUUUGAUUCAAUUAUGGUGAAAGUUCUAAAUAAGACAGAUACAGGAAUAAAGUUCAUCGUCUAUUCCAACUCAAAUAUUAAAUCAUUGGCUAAAUCAGAGGCUUCUUUAAGAAAAGGAGAAACUGGUAAUAUUGGCGGGAGGGC